rnacentral:rRNA from 1 species
ACCCGCUGAACUUAAGCAUAUCAAUAAGCGGAGGAAAAGAAACUAACAAGGAUUCCCCUAGUAACUGCGAGUGAAGAGGGAAAAGCUCAAAUUUAAAAUCUGGCAGCUUCGCUGUCCGA